rnacentral:rRNA from 1 species
GAUGAACGCUGGCGGCGUGCCUAAUACAUGCCAGUCGAGCGAACAGACGAGGAGCUUGCUCCUCUGACGUUAGCGGCGGACGGGUGAGUAACACGUGGAUAACCUACCUAUAAGACUGGGAUAACUUCGGGAAACCGGAGCUAAUACCGGAUAAUAUAUUGAACCGCAUGGUUCAAUAGUGAAAGACGGUUUUGCUGUCACUUAUAGAUGGAUCCGCGCCGCAUUAGCUAGUUGGUAAGGUAACGGCUUACCAAGGCAACGAUGCGUAGCCGACCUGAGAGGUUGAUGGGCAACACUGAAACUGAAAACGGGCCAAGACCCCUAGGGGAGGCAGCAGUAGGAAACUUCCGGAAAGGGCGAAAGCUUGACGGAGCAACGCCGCGUGAGUGAUGAAGGUCUUCGGAUCGUAAAACUCUGUUAUUAGGGAAGAACAAAUGUGUAAGUAACUAUGCACGUCUUGACGGUACCUAAUCAGAAAGCCACGGCUAACUACGUG